UACGAAGGGGGCUAGCGUUGUUCGGAUUUACUGGGCGUAAAGGGCGCGCAGGCGGCUCAUUUUGUCAGGCGUGAAAGCCCCGGGCUUAACCUGGGAACUGCGUUUGAUACGGAUGGGCUAGAGUUCGGGAGAGGAGAGUGGAAUUCCCAGUGUAGAGGUGAAAUUCGUAGAUAUUGGGAAGAACACCGGUGGCGAAGGCGGCUCUCUGGACCGAGACUGACGCUGAGGCGCGAAAGCGUGGGGAGCAAACAGG
rnacentral:rRNA from 1 species